rnacentral:rRNA from 1 species
GACGAACGCUGGCGGCGUGCUUAACACAUGCAAGUCGAACGGAAAGGCCCGGCUUUUGUGGGGUGCUCGAGUGGCGAACGGGGGAGUAACACGUGAGUAAACUGCCCUUGACUUUGGGAUAACUUCAGGAAACUGGGGCUAAUACCGGAUAGGAUAUCCUGCUGCAUGGUGGGGGUUGGAAAGUUUCGGCGGUUGGGGCUCGACUCGCGGGUUACGAGCCUGUUGGUGGGGUAGUGGCUUACCAAGGCUUUGACGGGUAGCCUGCCUGAGAGGGUGAACGGCCACAUUGGGCCUGAGAUACGGACCAGAAGCCUACGUGAGGCAGCAGUCGAGAACAUUGCACAACGGGCGGAAGUCUGAUGCAGAAACGCCGCGUGCGGGAUGACGGCCUUCGGGUUGUAAACCGCUUUGUCCUGUGACGAAGCGUGAGUGACGGUAAUGGGUAAAGAAGCACCGGCUAACUACGUG